UAAGGAAUAUUGGUCAAUGGAGGCAACUCUGAACCAGCCAUGCCGCGUGCAGGAAGACUGCCCUAUGGGUUGUAAACUGCUUUUAUCCGGGAAUAAACCUUUCUACGUGUAGGAAGCUGAAUGUACCGGAAGAAUAAGGAUCGGCUAACUCCGUGCCAGCAGCCGCGGUAAUACGGAGGAUCCAAGCGUUAUCCGGAUUUAUUGGGUUUAAAGGGUGCGUAGGCGGCCUGUUAAGUCAGGGGUGAAAGACGGUAGCUCAACUAUCGCAGUGCCCUUGAUACUGAUGGGCUUGAAUGGACUAGAGGUAGGCGGAAUGAGACAAGUAGCGGUGAAAUGCAUAGAUAUGUCUCAGAACACCGAUUGCGAAGGCAGCUUACUAUGGUCUUAUUGACGCUGAGGCACGAAAGCGUGGGGAUCAAACA
rnacentral:rRNA from 1 species